rnacentral:rRNA from 1 species
AUUGAACGCUGGCGGCAGGCUUAACACCUGCAAGUCGACCGAGUGGCGGACGGGUGAGUAAUGCUUGGGCAUCUAGCUUAUGGAGGGGGAUAACUACGGGAAACUGUAGCUAAUACCGCUUACAAUAGGAUGAGCCCAAGUGGGAUUAGCUGGUAGGUAAGGUAACGGCUUACCUAGGCGACGCUCCCUAGCUGGUCUGAGAGGAGGAUAAGCCACACUGGGACGGAGACACGGUCCAGACUCCUACGGGAGGCAGCAGUGGGGAAUAUUGCACAAUGGGGGCAACCUGACGCAGCCAUGCCGCGUGAAUGAAGAAGGCCUUCGGGUUGUAAAGUUCUUGCGGUAGCGAGGCGUUAACUACAGAAGAAGCACCGGCUAACUCCGUGCCAGCAGCCGCGGUAAUAC